rnacentral:rRNA from 1 species
UACGAAGGGGGCUAGCGUUGCUCGGAAUCACUGGGCGUAAAGCGCACGUAGGCGGGUUGUUAAGUCGGGGGUGAAAUCCUGGAGCUCAACUCCAGAACUGCCUUCGAUACUGGCGACCUUGAGUCCGGGAGAGGUGAGUGGAACUCCGAGUGUAGAGGUGAAAUUCGUAGAUAUUCGGAGGAACACCAGUGGCGAAGGCGGCUCACUGGCUCGGUACUGACGCUGAGGUGCGAAAGCGUGGGGAGCAAACAGG